UCUGAACGGAACUUGAUCAACAAGUUAGGAGGACGUUUCGAAUAUUUUAGACUUUAGCUCCCCACCUGUAUAAUAUGGACCAGUUGCCAACUGCUUCUUCUCAGUAUCGGUCGCACAGACUUCAGUUCAAUUAGAGUUCUGUUUCUUCGUGAAUGUAAUGGAUGUGUUGUCUCCGAAAUUGCCUCUAUGGAUGAGAUUUGAUCCGCUGGAUGACAAGGUAAUCGAUUUCUUCUUGAGGCCAAAGAAAACCAAUUGGGUAUUGCAUGAGCACUACAAAACCCUGAAAGAACUCGAUGCCACGCAUCCCGUUCAGAACGCCUUUGUACCCUGUCCAUUAUCUUAUAAACAUGAAAAAAAAGAGUAUUAAAGAUCCAAACUUUAAUGAUGCUGGAUCUGCUGUUUCAUCUCCCGCUGCAUCAUCCAAAUCUUGCCUUGAAGAUUUAGAGUCUGAGCUACUUCUGGCCUCAGUAUUCCCGGCACCAGAAGUGCAAGCUACUACAACACCUGGAAAUCUUGAUGGAACAUUAUAGGUCACUACAACACCUGUCAAGUGUGAUGACAAAACAGUUAAGUGCACAUGACGCGGAGAAUCAGUUGGGAGAACUUACCACUACCAAUGAUGAUCUGCAACUAGAAGAAGCAUCAAAAAUGACUUUUGAGUUGCAGCAAAUGGUAGCUUGUGAAGUUUUGACACCCUCAACUUCACCACAAAAUAGCCUUACUGCAUGAUCCAUUGAUCUUAAUAGAGACCAAAGUGAGAUUCUUUUGACUGACAAACGUAUUUUGAAUGUACACACUACAAAACUCAAGUGUUGAAUCUGAAACGUCAUAGCCAUAUGUGACAAGCUCACUAGCACCAUACUGAAAAUACGUCUCACAAUGACUGCUGUUCAAGUCAUUGGUGAUGGGGUUUGGAUUUGGUAUCUCCUGAAGACUAUUUUGACGGAAAGACAUUGAACACUAUAGCACUCAGUAAUUGUAACCAAAAUAGUUAUAAUGCAUGCGCUGCAAGAAAUGAAGUGCCUGAAGCAACAGCCUGCGAGGUUGAUUUGCAGUUCAAGGAAGGCUUAAUGAUCUCCCGACUUGAGCCACCGGAUUGCAAUUUGUCCUCCCUGUUCCCUUGGAUAUCCAAUUUGGCAUGUCUUACCCCGUCCCAAUGACUUGAACAACGGUCAUUGUGGGAUUUUCAGUAUGGUGCUUGCGAGCCCGCUGCAUAUGGCUGAGUUUUCAGAUUCAACACUUGAUUUUCAUAGUGAGUACAUUCAAAUACGUUUGUCAGUCAAAAGAAUCUCACUUUGGUCUCUAUUAAGGUGAAUGGAUUAUGCAGUGGGUCAGAUGCAAAAAUGGCCAAUAAACAAACCGCUUAAGUGGCGUGACCAAAAUUGUUAUAGUGUUUGCACUGCAGAAAAUGAAGUGCCAGAAGAAACAGCCAGUGAGUUCGAGGAAGGUUUGUGUAUGUCUGAUCGCCUACCAAAGCCUCCAGAUUGCAACUUGGUCUCCCCGUUCCCCCUUGGAUAUGCCAUUCGGCAUGUCUUGCCCCAUCACCAAUGACUCAAACAACAGUCAUUGUGGGAUGGAUUUUCAGCAUGGCACGAAUGACCUUGCCACAUAUGGCUAUGAUUUCUCAGAUUUAGAACCUGAUUAUAUUAAUCAGAACUUUGCAAAUACGUUUGGCAGUCAAAAGAAUCUUACUUUGGUCUCUAUUAAGGACAAUGGAUCAUGCAGUGGCCCAAAAACAAAAAUGGCCAACACACUGUUUGAGUCAACAUGUGAAAACUAUGGAGAGAUCAGCAAAAGAAAGGCUUCUUCAGGGUUGCUAAAUCUGGAAUUCCAUAUGGUAUGGAUCGGAGGGUCUUCAAAUCAAAUCGAAGGAUCUGAUUGUAUUCCGAAGAAUUAUUGACAUUCUUCGCACGAUGGUCCUAACCAUAGGUUCAAUCCUAAAUCUCAUAAUCUUCAUACUUAUGCAAGACAAUUAUUUCCCAACUGGUAUCCCAAACCUCAACAUAGUUUGCUCAACUUCUAUUUCACUUCCAUUUCCAACUCCAGUAUCUGAACACCAUAUCAACACUACUUUAUGAGGCCACUGCCAAUUCCAGGUUUUACCGUUGAACCAUAAUUCCAUAUGAACCCCCUUGGAAGUUGUUCAAAAAGGUCUCCAACCAAUUUCUAGAAACCUCGCCUCUUUCUUUUUGAGUCCCAUCCAAUGCAUAAUACUCAAAACAGACAAGAUCUGAAAUUCUAACAUUCCACCAAAACCUCCAUGAGCCCAGACUCGUAGUCUAAAACCCUUUUCUAUUGCCUGAACUUUUCCCAGCCGUCCAAUAACUCAAGCACAAACUCUAUACUCGAUAUCCCAAAUCCUUUUUCUUAUGUUGUAGAGUCUGAGACCUGACAAGAUACAAUUUGAAUUUUAAAUUAGUCCACGAUCCAAACGACCUCCAAAAACAUAAUGUGUCCAACAAGUUGAAUUUAUCCACAUCUCUGCCAUCGAACUAUAACAUAAUGAUGCCCUAAAAAAGGGUACAUCCAUGGAACCCCACAAGUUUCAUCCAUGAUAUCAUGCUGAAAGAUUAUCAAAACCUCUGAUAAUCAUAUGGAUAAUGCCAUAUGAAAUGAAUCUUAGAACCUGCUUAGUAUAAGAUUCUUAUAAUCAUAUGUAUGUUACCAAAUCAAAUGAUUAACAGAAACUGAUUAUAAAAAAAAUUCAGGUACAUAUAAUUAUAUGAAUGACACCAUACCAAGUGAUUAUUUGAAUCCGAAAAACAGGCUCUAAUCAUCAUAUGGUGCCUGAUUAAACAGGGUUCUUCUUCUACCCAACAUAUUUGCACAAAUUCAAGAUGGUGUGAUCUGUGUAUUCAAUCUGGGAUUUUCCUGGUUUACCUCUUUUCAAGAACUGGUCAAUCCUUCAUGGAGUAUUUCCGAGACUAUAUUUAUGGCAGGGGAUAAUGCAUGACCACCAUGUCAGUGAUCAUGGAAGAUCAGCAACCAUGGAAGAUUGAUUAAGAAGUGUACUUUUGUUUAACCUACUUUAGGUUGCAUGUAAAUAACGUUGGUUUGUAAUUUAGCUUCAGACAAUAUGUUCGGUAAUGUUGUGUUCGGUUUGACGGCAAUUCUCUAGUACGCAUAAAGACAUGAAAUUGUUAUCUUUGUAUUUGGAAACUUGACUAAGUUUUGACCGUCAAGAUCAUAGCAUGUCACCUAAGUUUUUUAUUGAUUCCAGCGACUAUAGUAUCAGAUUUUGGUAGUUUGAGGUUGCAGUGCUAAGUUUUGAUAGUUAAUUUGGGUUGAAAGAUGUAAAUAUCUUGUAGUUUAAAGGGGUGCAAGAUGUACCUUUCCCAUAAAAUGCUAUAUAUAUAUGCUGGAAUUGAUAAUGAUUUA